UAGGGAAUCUUCCGCAAUGGACGAAAGUCUGACGGAGCAACGCCGCGUGAGUGAUGAAGGCUUUCGGGUCGUAAAACUCUGUUGUUAGGGAAGAACAAGUACGAGAGUAACUGCUCGUACCUUGACGGUACCUAACCAGAAAGCCACGGCUAACUACGUGCCAGCAGCCGCGGUAAUACGUAGGUGGCAAGCGUUAUCCGGAAUUAUUGGGCGUAAAGCGCGCGCAGGCGGUUUCUUAAGUCUGAUGUGAAAGCCCACGGCUCAACCGUGGAGGGUCAUUGGAAACUGGGGAACUUGAGUGCGGAAGAGAAAAGCGGAAUUCCACGUGUAGCGGUGAAAUGCGUAGAGAUGUGGAGGAACACCAGUGGCGAAGGCGGCUUUUUGGUCUGUAACUGACGCUGAGGCGCGAAAGCGUGGGGAGCAAACAGGAUUAGAUACCCUGGUAGUCCACGCCGUAAACGAUGAGUGCUAAGUGUUAGAGGGUUUCCGCCCUUUAGUGCUGCAGCUAACG
rnacentral:rRNA from 1 species